UACGGAGGGGGCAAGCGUUGUUCGGAAUUACUGGGCGUAAGGGCGCGCAGGCGGCUGCUCCAGUCAGGCGUGAAAGGCCUGGGCUCAACCCGGGAAUUGCGCUUGAGACUGGGCUGGCUUGAGUGCGGGAGAGGAUGGUGGAAUUCCCAGUGUAGAGGUGAAAUUCGUAGAUAUUGGGAAGAACACCGGUGGCGAAGGCGGCCAUCUGGACCGCAACUGACGCUGAGGCGCGAAAGCGUGGGGAGCAAACAGG
rnacentral:rRNA from 1 species